rnacentral:lncRNA from 1 species
ACAGGGAUCUUGCUGUGUUGCUCAGGCUGGUCUGAAACUGCUGGCUUCAAGGGAUCCUCCUGCCUUGGUCUCACAAAAUGCUGGGAUGACAGACAUGAGACACCAUGCCUAGCCAUGUCUCUCUCCUUAUAUAUAAUAAGAAAACAGACACACUGAGGCAUCCUAUCAUCUCACUCUUGGUUUCACUACUGUUCUCUGGAAGUUUUGCUCUGACCUUUUGCAGUUAAUGUAUUAAUUUUGCAUUGAGUAGUUUCCAUAGAAGAAUUAUAGCAUUUGCAUUCUGUUGGGUAUUAUACUUUUCACUGUUAUUUGAACAUAAUUUGAGGGCUGAAACCAAGAUGAGGCAAGUGAGGUGCCCAGGAAGCAAUAUUUAAGGAGGCAUCCUUUCUUAGGCUCAUGCAAGAACAGAAUUGGCACAUGAGAGUGAGUGCCUCCUUAAUUUUGAGUGCUGGACACUUCUUGCUCACUUAGCAUACCCCUGGACAAUGAAGUGUUUUUUGUUUUGUUUUUUCAUGUCCAUCCUUUAUCCUUCUUCAUCUCAAAACAUUUCAAUGGAGUAUUUUUUUGGAGCAGUACUUGGAUGAGCCUCUGAGUCCCACAGUAGCUGAGAAUUUAUUUCAUAGUACUCUUUAUGAUCACUGUGGAGCCUUAAAACAUUGUAAUAUUAACUUAGCUGGGAACAGAAAUUUUGUUCCACAAUUUGUCUUAUUCAGAACAGUAUUGACUUCCUGCUAGUCUCUUCUGAUGUCCAAUAUGAGGAAGUCUAGUUAGCCAGCUACUUUUUGUAGGAGAGCUAUGUUUAGGCUAGGUGCUAUAGGAUUCUCUUUAUCCUGGAAUUCCUUCACCAAGAUGUGCCAAGGUGUUAAUCAUUUUCUCUUGCUUUUUGGCUGGUGGUCUUAGAGUUUCCUUCGAUUUUGUUUUAUUUAGUGAUUGUCCUCAAUUUGUUUUCUUUACUAAGAAUCUCUCUUCUAUUUAUCUGUAUGGUAAAACCUUGUUGCCCAUCUUUCUGGUUUCUGCUGACUUUCAUUUUUGGACCUUUUACUUUGCUUUCUCCAUGGACUUUUUGGUAGUGGAGGCAGGCAAACACUUUCCAAAGUCUUUCUCAAUUUCCAUCAAUUUCAACUUAUUUCCUAAAAUUGCCUCAGAAUGUGCCUAUGUCCACAAUAUCCCUCCUUCCACUUUAGAAAGGAAAGGCAUCCACACUUUAUUUAGGUGCAAUGCCUGAAGUGUAAACACUUUCUGGUUGUCAACAAAGGAGUACUUCCAAAUAUUGGUUUGGGGAUAACCUGCUAAUGAUUAACACAUUCACCUUGGCUCUUGGUUUGCCUGCUCCCUCUUCUUUUAUCUGCUGUGUGUAUUUUUUUUAAUCACUGAGAAUAUGCACAGUAUUGUAUGUUUUAUUAUAAGAGAGGACUGGCCAGAGUGGGAAUGUUCUGAAUUCAGAAUAACUGAAGCAGUACAGGAUAGGAACUCAUUCUUUCAAAUGAAGCUGGCAUAUUUUCCCAGA